rnacentral:rRNA from 1 species
AGUUUGAUCCUGGCUCAGAUUGAACGCUGGCGGCAUGCUUUACACAUGCAAGUCGAACGGGGUUAAGGGGCUUGCUCCUUAAUCUAGUGGCGAACGGGUGAGUAAUGCAUCGGAACGUACCCGGGAGUGGGGGAUAACGCACCGAAAGGUGUGCUAAUACCGCAUAUUCUGUGAGCAGGAAAGCAGGGGACCUUAGGGCCUUGUGCUUCCGGAGCGGCCGAUGUCGGAUUAGCUAGUUGGUGAGGUAAAGGCUCACCAAGGCGACGAUCCGUAGCGGGUCUGAGAGGAUGAUCCGCCACACUGGGACUGAGACACGGCCCAGACUCCUACGGGAGGCAGCAGUGGGGAAUUUUGGACAAUGGGCGCAAGCCUGAUCCAGCCAUGCCGCGUGUCUGAAGAAGGCCUUCGGGUUGUAAAGGACUUUUGUCAGGAAGGAAAACCUAUUGGCUAAUAUCCAGUGGGGAUGACAGUACCUGAAGAAUAA